rnacentral:misc_RNA from 1 species
UAUUAAAAUUUUAAUGUUCUUUUGAGUACAAAAAAUUCGAAUAAUGUAUUUUUAAGUGAAGUGAAAUAGAGCGAAGUAUUAGAAGAAGUCAAAUGGUUAAAAAAUGGAGCAAAAUUUAAACCAAAUGAUUAUAAACUAUUGAAGCGUUAUGAUAUAAUGAAUGUAAGUAAUAUUGAAAAAUAAAUUGUACCGGUAAAUGAUCCAAAUACUAUUAAAUAUUAUGUUUAUAAUGAAGAGUUGUUUAAAAUAAUUCACGACGUGCAUUUGCAAACUGGACAUGGAGGUAUAAACCGAAUGGAACAUGAACUGAACGCAAAAUAUAAAAACAUUACUAGGGAAUGUUUAAUGAUAUAUUUAAAUUUAUGUGAACCAUGUCAGAGAAAAGGUAAAACUGAAAAAAGAGCUAGUUGUUAAACCAAUAAUUUCUUCAGAAAUGAAUUCUCGUUGUCAAGUAGAUUUGAUUGAUAUGCAAGCUCAACCUGAUGAAAAUAAUCGAUUUAUUUUAGUUUAUCAAGAUCACCUAACGAAGUAUGUUUUACUUAAACCAUUAACACACAAACGUGCAGAAGAAGUUGCCUAUAUAUUACUUGAUAUUUUUACUAUAUUUGGAGCUCCGUGCAUCUUACAGAGUGAUAAUGGUAGAGAAUUUGUUAACAAGGUUAUUGAAGAGUUAUGCAGUACGUGGGAAGAACUGAAAAUCGUACAUGGCAAGCCACGGCAUUCACAAAGUCAAGGCUCUGUUGAAAGGGCUAACCAGGACGUAGAAAAUAUGCUUGCCACCUGAUUAACAGAUAAUAAAACUAAUAAAUGGAGCAAGGGACUUAAAUUCAUUCAAUUUAUGAAAAACAGAAGUUUACACUACGGAAUUAAGUGUUCUCCUUAUGAGGCUAUGUUAGGUACCCGGGUUAAAAUAGGCUUGAAAUCUACUUCUCUACCAGAAAGUAUUAUACAUAAGCUGAAGACUGAUGAAGAUUUAGAAACCGCAUUGAACUCUAUUAAUAUUGAAAAAUCUGUUGAUACAUCUUCUGAAGAAAAUAUUGAUGUUAACGAAGAACAAGCUGAUAUUAUACAUUCAAAACAGGAAACAAUAAUUAAAAAAAGAAGAGAUUCGUUGCAUAAUUUAAAAGUUCAAGCUUCAAAAAUGAAGACUCCGAACAUCGACUUCGUGAAGGCAAAAUUGGCGAAAGUGUUAAAAUUAGAAUACCUGAUGUUGAUAAAGCACGGAGUGAUCUGCGAUCCAUUUCAGGAGUUAUUAUGUCUGUAAAAAACAAUAGUUAUGAAAUUGGUACCACUGAAGUAAAACUUCAACAACUUUACGCUAGAAACCAAUUUGAAAUAUGCAAAAAGUCGUUUGUCCAGAUUGAAGCAGUACCAGUAACAUCUCCGAUAAUACUAAGAAGAGCAGCUAGAAAAUUUUCAAAUCUUGGCGGUCAAGGAUAUGACCGGUGUAACUGUAAAUAGCAAUGCAAGACAAAUAAAUAUGCAUAGUUCAUACUGACAAGACGUGACAGUCACGGACUAAGAUAUUCUUAUCGACCGAUAAUUUCCC